GGCCAACGGAACUUGGAAGCUGGGGAGCCGGGCACCUACUGGUCCAGUCCAGGAGAGGACGGAGGAGGGAUGGACUGGCUCUGCUGCAUCCCGCUCUCCCGAGGCCGAGGCCGAGGCCGCAGGCGUCGUCACGGCAGAGAUGGUCUCUGCCAGGCCUGCAGAACCUGGAUGAGAACGCGAGGCGGACGCCUAUGGGCCGUUGCCCGCAGGGACCCAGAGGUACCACCGGGAGAGACCCGCCAGGAACAGGGUGAGGAAGGCAGAAGGCCACCCGAGGAACGUCCACACAGACUGCUCCCCGGGGUCCUCUGCUGGGCUGGUCGGGAGCACAGGAGCGCCAGCUGUUGCCAUGAAGACACCGUCCACAUGAGCCUGACAACCCAGGAAGGCCUGGCCCCCUCCUGAGGCCCAGCCUGAAGGAGACCUGGCAUCAGAGGCCAAGACGCCAGCCGAGCGGAAAGACCCUGGAGCAGCCCCCAGAGGAGGUCCAGAACCACAGGAGGACUCAGCACCCGGGCAGGGAGGACCUGUAGCUCUUUCAGAGGGACACUCACGUCCUCAUGGGGACUCACCUCCCGGGGAGGAUGAACCCUCUGCUCCUCUCCCAAGAGGCCCAGCUCCUCUUGAGGAGCCACCACCCGGGCAGGGUGGAACCAAGGCGCCUCCUGCAGGAGGGCCAGGCCCCCAUGAAGACUCAACUCAUGGGCAGGAUCAACCUGCUGCUCCUCCUGAAGGAAGACCAGAGCCUCAUGAGGUCUCACCUCCCGGGCAGGAUGAAAAUCCUGCUCUUCCUACAGGAGGACGAGGCUCUCAGGAGGACACAGUAGCUGGGCAGGAUGAAAAUCAAGCUCCUCCUACAGGAGGACGAGGCUCUCAUGAGGACUCACCAGCCGGACCCGAUGAAAAUCCUGCUCCUCCUCCUGGAGGACAAGGAUCUCAGGUGGACCCACCCGCCAGGCAGGAUGAAAAUCCUGCUCCUCCUCCUGGAUUACGAGGCUCUCAUGACGCCUCAGCAGCCGUGCAGGAUGAAAAACCUGCUCCUCCUCCAGUUGGACGAGGCUCUCAGGAGGACUCACCAGCCGGGCAGGUUGAAAAUCUGGAUAAUCCUUCUGGAGGACGAGGCUCUCCCGAGGACUCACUAGCUGGGCAGGAUGAGAAUCCUGCUAGUCCUCCAGAAGUCUCCCUUCCACUCGAACACUCACCAGCCCUGCAGGGGGCACUUGGCGCUGCUCUGGCCGAAUUCCCGGACACUGAUGUGCCUUUCCCUGUGCUAGAUGGCAAUGGUGCCCCGGCCUCUGCUGGGGACAAAGGGCCGGAGGAGCAUUCAGCAGCCCUUUUGGGAGUGCCUGCCUUGACUGCUCCCGCACCCCCUGUACCAGGUCCUGGCCUGGCUCUUUCAAGAACCCUCGGCCCGUUUCCAAAACCACCUUCCCCAAGGUCCCCUCUGCCCCUGCCAGUGCCCUCCCCAUCAGCUUCCCCCAAACCCCAUCCCCUUGCUCCCCCUCCUGACAUGGACUCUCCUUCCCCUCUCCUGAUUUCUCUUUGGAGAUGUGUCCAAUUUCUCUUUCU
rnacentral:lncRNA from 9 species